GCUUUGUGGAAUUCUGACCUCAAUGAGUCACUGAAUUGUUGAGAUUGCCCUGCUUCAGCGUUUCUUUGUGCUGGAGCAAGUGCAGUUGCCAAGACCGCAGAGGAAGGGGGUGGAGGAAUGGCCUCAGCCAUCUCAGAGGACGGCACUUGUUGCCCCCAGUGCCACUGGCCAAAGACCUUUUCAAUUACACCAGACGCAUUGGCUCUAGGCAGCCUCAGCUUCCUGUCACCACGGACUCUGUUUAAUGUCUCAGCUGGACUUGGCUGCAUCAGAGAUUGCAGGGAAUAUGGCUGGUCCACUUGGGUGGAUUUGCACAUGGCCAUCCUGUACAUGUGCCCUUCUGCCAGCCUGGCAGCCUCUCCCUUCGUCUGCCUUUUCCUUGGAAGUGCAUCAGCAGGGGGAGCUGGAUCUAUCCUCAACCUAAUGGAAAGCAGACGUCCCCGCACGCAGAGGAGCAGGCUGCCUUGCAGGGUUUUUCUGGAAUAGCUCAGAUGGUUGUUAUUUUAUUCAUUGGAAUGGAGAUGAAUUGCUAAAUGUACCAGUUAAAUGUGAUUUAAAUUGUAUAUCUUUGUCAAGUUUUUCACAUAAAUUCACUCAUUAAAAAAAAAUUCUUUGCACAGAC
rnacentral:lncRNA from 1 species